rnacentral:rRNA from 1 species
UACAGAGGUCCCAAGCGUUGUUCGGAUUCACUGGGCGUAAAGGGUGCGUAGGUGGCCAGGUAAGUUCGGUGUGAAAGCUCGGAGCUUAACUCCGAAAUGGCAUUGAAUACUAGCUGGCUAGAGGGCCGGAGGGGAGACUGGAAUUCUCGGUGUAGCAGUGAAAUGCGUAGAUAUCGAGAGGAACACCAGUGGCGAAGGCGAGUCUCUGGACGGCUCCUGACGCUGAGGCACGAAAGCCAGGGGAGCAAACAGG